UCCGCCAGUUAGUGACCUAUACCGUACAGUAUUUCCAUGUAUUCAAAUGCUGCGUUCACGUAUUUACACUACAAUCCAAGACGCUAUAUCAGUCAAACUUGCUAACACACACUCACACGGGGUAAAACCAAACCCUAUUCAUUCACCAAUCAGACCCGAUCGUUUUUUUUUUUUCUCCUCUCCCUAUUUUUUAUUUUUUUUAAUUCAUUCGCGUGACGAAUGACAAGGCGGCAGACCUAAACACAGUCAGUUUACUUGGUGGAUUUGGAGCGGCAAUUUUCACACAAAAGAGAAGAAAACGAGCGUCAGUGUGGAAAAUGCUGGUGGCGACGGAGAUAGUGACGAUGUAACAACAUUGGUUCCGAAAAAAGGCAAGCAAAGAAGUUACAUAUGGACGUUUCUCAAUCGGAAGGCUGCAGCCUCCGAAGGUCGCAUAUGCAGGCUGCAUACGUGGGACUGAUUCUCCAUGCUGAUGAAAAUUUCUGCCACUGCACCACUACACUCUGACUCUCCCUGCUAGUCCAAGGCUGAUACUGCUGGUUGCUGGUGAUGAAGUCACACUUAGAGGCUGGAUGCAUUGAAAACAACAUCAUCUGUGAAGGCAUCCACCAAAGCUUCAUCAGAGGGCUGGCUGCAGUUUUCGCCACCUACUAUGUGUUCAACUUGCAAUACCAAGAGGAAGCUGCCAGGACACUGGACUUUGUUCAAAGCCCUCUCUGAGCUUCGGGCGGCUUCAAAACAUAGUCCUUAUACAUGGAGUACACCACACCUGCAACGACACCACAGUGUAGAAUAGUACCUAAAGUCAUGGCUCCCACCACGAAGCCCUGCGCUGCCACACGCAUGUGGAUCAGUUGCACGGACAUCUUCAUAUUGCCCCUGCUCUUCAUCUUGUACAGUCUGUGUGCCACAAUGGCAAAGAGAACCG